GGGCCAGCUACCACUCUAUGAGCUCGAUGGCACGAGCAGCGUUCUCUGAGGAUGGGGCCCUGAUGGAUGGUGGCAUGGACCUCAACAUGGAGCAGGGCAUGGCAGAGUGAGUGUCCCCCACCGCCAGCCCAGGUGAGCGGCCCCAGGGCUGGGGCCCAGAUAGCCCAAGAAACACAGCUACUUGUAACUUGAAAAGGGUGGAAGGGAGUUGCAACUUGAAAAGGGUGGAAGGGCCCAUAUGCUGUCUUUCCAGCUUUAUUUCUAUCCACAGGCACCUUAAGGAUGUGAUCCUACUGACAGCCAUCGUGCAGGCUCCAGGCCGGGCCCUUUACCUCCUGUGGGUGAAUGUGCUGGGCCCCUGGUUCACUGCAGACAGUGGCACCCCAGCACCAGAGCACAAUGAGAAACGGCAGCGCCGACAGGAGCGGCGGCAGAUGAAGCGGUUAUAGCCAUUGACAUUGUGGCCACAGGCCACUGGCCCUGGGUGGCUCUGUCAGGGUGCACAGCCCCUCAUGCCUGGAGCAAUGAGGGUCUAGUCCAGGGGCCAAAAGCAGUCUGAGGUAUUGGGUAUACUUAUACUCUAUAGGGUCGUUGAAUAAAUGGCUUAGAAUGUG
rnacentral:sRNA from 1 species